rnacentral:lncRNA from 1 species
UGAUCCCAUUACGGGUUCUCGAUCCCAUUAUUGGGUUCCUGAUCCCACUAUUGGCUUCCCGAUCCCAUUAUGGCUUCCUGAUCCCAUUAUGGCUUCCCGAUCCCACUAUUGGGUUCCCAAUCCCAUUAUUGGGUUCCCAAUCCCAUUAUUGUGUUCCUGAUCCCAUUACGGGAUCCCGAUCCCAUUAUUGGGUUCCUGAUCCCAUUAUUGGGUUCCUGAUCCUACUGUGGGCUCCCAAUCCCACUAUUGGGUUCCUGAUCCCAUUAUGGGUUCCUGACCCCAUUAUGGCUUCCUGAUCCCACUAUUGGGUUCCCGAUCCCAUUGUUGGGUUCCCAAUCCCAUUAUUGGGUUCCCGAUCCCAUUAUGGGUUCCCGAUCCCAUUAUGGCUUCCUGAUCCCACUAUUGGCUUCCUGAUCCCACUAUUGGCUUCCUGAUCCCAUUAUUGGCUUCCUGAUCCCACUAUUGGCUUCCUGAUCCCAUUAUGGGUUCCCAGUCCCACUCUUGGGUUCCCAAUCCCAUUAUCGCUUUCCCGAUCCCAUUCUGGGUUCCCCGACCCCACUGUUGUUCCCACCCCAUAGCGCCGCCCCCUCUCUCCCCAUUUUGGGGCAUUUGGGGUCGCUGACCCCAUAAAAUCCCCCUUAGGUUUAAGGUUUUCGCCGACUACGAAGCGUACGUGAAAUGCCAGGAGCGCGUCAGCGAGCUGUACAAGGACUCCCGACAGUGGACCCGCACGGUGAUCCGGAACAUCGCGGCGGCCGGGAAAUUCUCCAGCGACCGAACUAUCGCUCAAUACGCCCGCGAGAUCUGGGGCACGGAGCCCACCCGCCACCGCAUCCCCGCCCCCGACGAGCCCCGCCACUGACCGCCCCACAGCGCCCCAUAGCGCCCCAUAGCGCCCUACGGAGCCACGUGUCACCCCAUAGCGCCCCAUGUCUCCCCACAGCGCCUCCUGUCACCCCAUAG